rnacentral:ncRNA from 1 species
UAUCGAAUCGGUGAUGACGUUCGCCGAGCAGCCUUCGGUAAAAGCAGUUGAUGUCGCCCUUUUAAAGGGGCAUGAAAUGAGGGCUGCAACUAUUACGGAAUGUAAUUAAUGACGUCUACACGCGC